rnacentral:rRNA from 1 species
UCAGGAUGAACGCUAGCGACAGGCUUAACACAUGCAAGUCGAGGGCAUCACGGGAGUAGCAAUACAACUGGUGGCGACCGGCGCACGGGUGAGUAACGCGUAUGCAACCUACCUAUCAGAGGGGAAUAACCCGGCGAAAGUCGGACUAAUACCGCAUAAAACAGGGGCACCGCAUGGUGAUAUUUGUUAAAGAAAUUCGCUGAUAGAUGGGCAUGCGUUCCAUUAGGUAGUUGGUGAGGUAACGGCUCACCAAGCCGACGAUGGAUAGGGGAACUGAGAGGUUGGUCCCCCACACUGGUACUGAGACACGGACCAGACUCCUACGGGAGGCAGCAGUGAGGAAUAUUGGUCAAUGGGCGGGAGCCUGAACCAGCCAAGUCGCCGUGAAGGAAGAAGGAUCUAUGGUUCGUAAACUUCUUUUGCAGGGGAAUAAAGUGCAGGACGUGUCCUGUUUUGUAUGUACCCUUCGAAUAAGGAUCGGCUAACUCCGUGCCAGCCGCCGC